AGAGAUGCGGGAGUGCCUUCGGGAUCAGAACACAGGUGCUGCAUGGCUGUUGUCAGCUCGUGUCGUGAGAUGUUGGGUUAAGUCCCGCAACGAGCGCAACCNUUGUCCUUAGUUGCCAGCACGUAAUGGUGGGAACUCUAAGGAGACUGCCGGUGACAAACCGGAGGAAGGUGGGGAUGACGUCAAGUCAUCAUGGCCCUUACGGCCAGGGCUACACACGUACUACAAUGGUCGGUACAGAGGGUUGCAAUACCGCGAGGUGGAGCCAAUCCCAGAAAGCCGAUCCCAGUCCGGAUCGAAGUCUGCAACUNGACUUCGUGAAGUCGGAAUCGCUAGUAAUCGCAGAUCAGCUAUGCUGCGGUGAAUACGUUCCCGGGCCUUGUACACACCGCCCGUCACACCAUGGGAGUGAGUUGCUCCAGAAGCCGUUAGCCUAACCGCAAGGAGGCGACGCCACGGAUGUUCAGAAA
rnacentral:rRNA from 1 species